UUUUUUAUUUAUUUUUACGGUCUGUCAACAAAAAUAGAGCUACAAUCUAUCUGCAAUAUUAAAGCUGAUUUAGCACCCUAAAUUUAAAAAAGUAUGUGUGUAGAUUUAGAUUAGUGUCAGCCUUCAGCCUAGGUUAACUAACGGACAUGGUUUGAAAAUGAAGUCGAAACAUUUUCACAACUAUAUUAAUCGUUUUCCAGGAACAUCGAUUUUCUAUUUUAGUUCGGUACCAACAAGUUAGCUAGCUUGUAGCUAACGUUAGAACCCUAGAUAGCUAGUUAUCACCUUGCAAAAAAUAAUCCAGCAAGAUUAGGCUAGCUAAGUAGCAAAUUAACAAGGGAAACCGAGACCACUCGGCGUAGGUAGAGACCAAUAGCGAUAUUGAUCUUUGGUCGGGAGUCAAGCCUGCAAUUUUUUGAAAAUGGACGAGGCGUCCCCGGCAUCUCUGACAGACCUGUGUCUGUCCUACGUGAGUGGGAACCUGGAGAAGUUCUGUGUGAAGCACGCCGAUGGAUCUCUCUGUCUCAGAGACUCUUUACUGUUCCCCCAGGAGCUAGCUGACCAGCUGUUAGCUAAAAUGGCCACUGAAGGUCUGUUGAAUGACAGUACAGUGGGAGUGUUUCGUAGCUGUGAGUACCUAAGGCUGCGUCGUGCGUGUAUCCGGACUGCUCGUAUCUCUGCCGAGGCAUUCCAGAGAGCACUCUGUCCUCACCGCCUGCUGGAGCUGGACGCUGCCAGGGUCAACGCUGACCUCACCAUCUCUGACAUACUACAGGGACUGGCCUCCAACAAACACUGCCAGGAGAGCUUACAGCGGUUGGUCCUGACAGGUCUAACCAUGUCCUCUCUGGAGGAACCAUCUCAUCACCGCUUCAGCUCUCUCCAGGGGCUCCGCUCCCUCUCCCUGGCCAAUGUGGACUUCUACGAUGCUGGGCUGGCUGACGUGUGUUCCCUACCCCGCCUGGAGAGCCUGGACCUGUCCAACACCUCAGUAACCAACCUCAGUCCUCUACUGGGCCUCAGGGAGAGGCUGAGGUCACUAACACUACACCAGCUGAAGAGGCUGGAGAUGAGCACCGCACAGCUAUUGGCUGUCAUUGGACAACUGGAGGCACUGCAGCACCUGGACAUCAGUGAUGAUAAACAGUUCACAUCAGACGUGGCUCGUCAGUUGCUGGGCGAACCUGGGAUCCUGCCUGCUCUGGUCUCUCUGGAUGUGUCUGGACGCAAACAGGUGACAGAUGCAGCGGUCAAGGCGUUUGUAGAGGAACGUCCAGGGAUGACCUUUGUUGGUCUGCUGGCUACAGAUGCUGGCUUCUCUGACUUCCUCAAUGGAGAGGGCAUCCUCAAGGUGACAGGAGAGGCAAAUGAGACUCAGAUCUGUGAGUCGCUGCUUCGCUACAGUGAGAGAGACGGCUUUGUCAGAGAGGCUCUGUUUCAUCUGUUCAGUCUCACUCACGUCAUGGAGAAACCACGGCCUGACAUACUCAAGUUGGUAAUACUGGGGAUGAAGAACCACCCUGCCACCCUGAACGUCCAGUUGGCAGCCAGUGCGUGUGUGUUUAACCUGACCAAGCAGGACCUGGCAGCGGGCAUGCCUGUUAGACUGCUUGGCACAGUCACUCAACUACUGCUGGAGGCCAUGAGGACCUUCCCUAACCACCAACAGUUGCAAAAGAAUUGCCUUCUCUCUCUGUGCAGUGACCGCAUACUGCAGGAGGUCCCCUUCAACAGGUUUGAGGCUGCUAAGCUGGUGAUGCAGUGGCUAUGUAACCAUGAGGACCAGAACAUGCAGAGGAUGGCUGUGGCUAUCAUUUCUAUACUGGCUGCCAAGUUAUCUACAGAGCAGACAGCCCAGCUGGGAGCAGAGCUGUUCAUAGUGAAGCAACUCCUCCACAUUGUGCGUCAGAAGGCGACUCAGGGCGGGGUGGAUGCCACCCUCAAGUUCACACUGAGCGCGCUCUGGAACCUCACCGACGAAUCACCAACCACCUGCCGCCAUUUUAUAGAGAACCAGGGACUGGAGCUGUUCAUUAAAGUUCUGGAGUCGUUCCCCUCGGAGUCUUCCAUCCAGCAGAAGGUGUUGGGGCUGCUGAACAACAUAGCAGAGGUCGGGGAGCUGCAUGAGGAGCUGAUGGUUCAGGGCUUUCUGGAUCACAUCUGCUCCCUGCUCCACAGCCCUGAGGUGGAGGUGUCCUACUUCGCUGCUGGGAUACUGGCCCACCUCACCUCCAGAGGAAAGGCUGCAUGGACACUCAGUAUCACACUGAGGUCUGACCUGCUAGAACAACUGCACUCUGCCAUCCUGAAGUGGCAGACCCCAGAGUGUGAGAUGGUGGCUUACAGGUCCUUUAACCCUUUUUUCCCCCUGUUGGAGUGUUUCCACACCCCAGGAGUCCAGCUGUGGGCAGCCUGGGCCAUGCAGCAUGUUUGCAGCAAGAACGGUGAAACACACACACUCCAUAUAGAGCUUAAUAGUUUUCUACCUGUCCUACGUUUCAGUAUAUUCUGCUCUGUGCGUCAUCAAUGUGAGUGUACUCUCUCUGGACUCCUGCAGCCCCUCGGUACUGCAGUAUGCUGCUGGAGGAGGGAGGUCUGCAGCAGCUGGAAAAGGUCCAGACACACCCCGACACACACGCAGAUGUCAUGCGAUUGACUGAUGGCAUCCUGGAGAGCCUGCAGCGCCACCAGGCUCGCACCGGCCAGACCACACAAACACCCCCACACACACACAAAGAGAGUGAUACACCCUGAUCAGAACCCAUUCCACCUGUAAUGUCAAGACAAGAGUCCAGGAAGAGGUGUGUGUGUGUUCACACAUGUUCAUUAAGCCUGUCGCAUGCUUCCCAGUCGAAACAGUUUGCGGCAAAUUUUUACGUUUCUGAUUAUAUUGGAGUUCGCAGGUUUUUUUUCCAGUUGUUCGCGCACCAAAUGUGUUCUUGAGGCAAGCCAAAGUCAACAGUACUACGGGAUUCUUCAUUGAAGUGUUUGUCAUUCAGUGAACCUAGUUUGAAUGCACAUUUUUCACUUGAGAAAUACUGCACCAAAUUUAUCAAAAUGAUUUACAGAUUCCUUGAUUCUUCGUAGAUUAAUUCUGACUAUUGAGCAGGUGGCUAUGUUGCUACGGCGUUUCAAGAGGGAGAUUUUUCAAGCAAAAGUCUUUAAAGGGAGUAUGCGAGGCACAGACGUUUGCUUCCCCGAGCCGAGUUCUACUUGGCGUAAACCAAACCUAGUAUGUGGGCGCCUUUAAACUGGGGUGAGGAAAGACCCUGUCACAAGGUGGUGCUGUAAAGUGAAUGAGAGAACACAUACCUUGCUGUUAUUUAUUUUCUUGUUUGGUUCAAAAGCAACAGUAUGACUAAGUGUACUACUGUUGGGAUAAGGAAAUUAUGAUUGAUUUAACUAAAGAAAAAUAAACCUUAAGACAAGCAUGAGUUGUUGGUUAACAGCGUCCAUAGCAUGAAUAGAAAACCAGUUGAACUAUAUGGUUUAACUGUUUCUUUCCUGUUGGACUCUGAAAGGGCCACUAAUCAACAUCAAUUAACACCAUUGACAUCGAUUCAUGGUUGGAGUUCUGCAGGCGCACCAAGUUUGGAUUCAGCCCCUAAAGGGCACUACAUACCGUACGCAAACAGCGAUGGGGCGUCAUAUACGGGCCAUUCCCAAAUUGGAUCCGCACAAAAGUAUGUAGAAGUACCUAGAAAACAACGCUGUUGCUGCGUUUGCGUAAAGUGUGUAGCAGCCUUAAAGCUCAGUUCUGGGGUUGAGAGUCCAGCCCCUCGGGCUGAUUAGCUAAUAUAUGCACAUGACGGUGUGAUUUCCCAGCAUGCUCAAGUUUGUCUGAAUGAUCUUUUGAUUCACCCAGUUUGUAGCAGGACUAUUCAAAUCCAGACAUGGAGGUCCACAAUACAGUCCAUAGUUAUUUUGUCUGUGGUAGUUAAUUGAUCAUUAUAAAUGUAUGAAUUCAUUUAUGGAUACAUUUUUGCCACAGUGUAUACUCACCAGGAGUUGCAGGUCUGAAUCAGUCCCUGAUUUAGAGGGUUAGGAUGAAAACCAGCAGUAUUGUGGACCUCCAGGACAAGAUUUGAGUUCUCCUGGUUUAUAAAAAUUAUGUUAAUAGUAAUGUUGUUUCCCUUGUGGACAAAAAUGGCAAUAAAUAUACUGGUCAACAUUAAGACAGAAUACAUAUACGACUUUGCACAGUAGGAAGAAAGAACUCAAGAAAAUAAGUUAUGUGCUUCCAUGGUUGCUGGUCUGUGUGCAUGCUUGCGUAUUUGGAUCAGUGUAUAGGUGAGUGUGUGUUUGAUGCUAGGGGGAGUGUUUGUACUGACAUGGCCCACAUGACUCACAGCGCUGGGAGAGCUGUAACUUCCCUGGUCUGGAAAGGAGGCCGUUCGUUAAUGCAAUAUUCACUCAGAAAUUGUGACGGGUUUUAUGGUUUCUCAAUGUUUUUGUUUUUUUCCCCUCUGGGUUUGAGACCUCGUUUGGAUUUGAAAAUCCAACUGUUGUAGUUGAAGGGGGUGACGCUCGGGGGCUGUGCAUCUGGGUGUUUGAGUGAGAAAGAGGAGAACCAACCAGUAAAAUCACAGCCCCCUUCAUUAUCGACACAUUGUGCCGUCAACCUCAAAGAGCCAUUCCAGACUCUGAAGUCAGGAGGACUUAGAGUUAAGUGCUAGCCACUAUAGCCAGACAAGUGUUUGUAGUUUCUCAUCUCCCAUAUUCAAGUACAGUCUUUAAUGAUUGGUUUAAAGUGUUGGAAACAAUAUAAUAUGUUUUGUUGUUUAUUUCAAAAGGAGGUACAAAAGAAAACGUAGGAGGCAAAACUGAGUUGAAUUCUGCGAUUAAGGGGAGAGGCAGCGAGAGUAGCGCAAUCCCAAAAAGACGCCUAUCCCAGGGGUGUUGAACUCAUUUUGCCCCAGGGGCUGCAUUCGCUUUUUGAGGGCCGCACUAAAAAUGUUAUUUCCUUGCCGUCAAAAUGACAAAACUGUCUAUCUGCAACGGUCUGUACAUUGCACCCUCCUGAGCAUGAGCCUGGUUGUGACUAAUAAUGAUAUAUGCUACUGAUCUCGUCUUCAUUCUCUAUGCAAUGGCGGUUGAAACUACAUUUCAUGCCUGCUGGCAAAUCUCCACAUGCUUGAUUUCAAAUCAGCCUACACAUUGUAUGUGCAUGCUACCACUGCAUGGGUCAAAGUAUCUAUUCUCUAUGGCAUUAAGAGAAAUGCACAGAACAAACUGAACUGUAAACUAAAGUCAGUAUUUUCUACAUUUAUACUGACAGAAUAUUACAUUUGAGUUGUCCUCUCACUAUGAUUGAAGCUGUGGGAAAGUUUAGUCUUGUCUGUGCAUUUACCCUAAUGUGACAGUUUCCUCUUUCUGUAUGGGUAUUUCAUGAAACGGAGUGGGGUGUCUCUAAAGGGAAGGCCAUUUGCUAAGAUGCCAUUUUUCUGCUGAGGGUCAUUUUUUCAUGUUUCUGAAAUAAAGAAUGUACACCCCCA